UACGGAGGGGGCUAGCGUUGUUCGGAAUUACUGGGCGUAAAGCGCACGUAGGCGGAUUGGAAAGUCAGAGGUGAAAAUCCCAGGGCUCAACCUUGGAACUGCCUUUGAAACUCCCAGUCUUGAGUUCGAGAGAGGUGAGUGGAAUUCCGAGUGUAGAGGUGAAAUUCGUAGAUAUCGAGAGGAACACCGGUGGCGAAGGCGGACCUUCGUGGACAGUGGACUGACGCUGAGACGCGAAAGCGUGGGGAGCAAACAGG
rnacentral:rRNA from 1 species